GACGUAGGGGGCCAGCGUUGUUCGGAAUUACUGGGUGUAAAGGGUCCGUAGGCGGUGCGGCAAGUCGGGAGUGAAAUCUCUGGGCUUAACCCAGAGGCUGCUUCCGAAACUGCUGUGCUUGAGUGUGGGAGAGGCGCGUGGAAUUGCAGGUGUAGCGGUGAAAUGCGUAGAUAUCUGGAGGAACACCGGUGGCGAAGGCGGCAUCCUGGACCAUGACUGACACUGAAAAGCGAAAGCCAGGGGAGCAAACGGG
rnacentral:rRNA from 1 species